GGGUCUGUAGCUCAGGUGGUUAGAGCGCACCCCUGAUAAGGGUGAGGUCGGUGGUUCGAGUCCACUCAUACCCACCA
rnacentral:tRNA from 1 species